rnacentral:rRNA from 1 species
AGAACGAACGCUGGCGGCAGGCUUAACACAUGCAAGUCGAGCGCCCCGCAAGGGGAGCGGCAGACGGGUGAGUAACGCGUGGGAACAUACCCUCCGGUUCGGAAUAGCUCAGGGAAACUUGGAUUAAUACCGGAUACGGCCUAGCGGCGAAAGAUUCAUCGCCGGAGGAUUGGCCCGCGUCUGAUUAGCUAGUUGGUGGGGUAAUGGCCCACCAAGGCGACGAUCAGUAGCUGGUCUGAGAGGAUGAUCAGCCACAUUGGGACUGAGACACGGCCCAAACUCCUACGGGAGGCAGCAGUGGGGAAUAUUGGACAAUGGGCGCAAGCCUGAUCCAGCCAUGCCGCGUGAGUGAUGACGGCCUUAGGGUUGUAAAGCUCUUUCGCUAGGGACGAUAAUGACGGUACCUAGACAAGAAGCCCGGCUAACUUCGCGCCAGCAGCCGC